GUUUUUUUUUUUUUUUUUUUUUUUUUUUCAUGUGCUCAAAAGGGUGAAAUUGAAAUUGUAGGAGAUGGAAUACAGGAGUAGAGGAAAUUCAAAUGAAAACAAAAUAUGUGGCAUAGCCAAGGCACAGACUACAGCCAUUUGCAGGUUACUGCACUUGCUCUUAAGAGUCAGAAUAUGUCAAGGAGCCUGAGGUAUAUCUUUGGUGAAAAAUGCUGUUUGGUGUUUUAUGAAGUAUUGAAAAAAAAUCUCAGCCUAGAAUUGUUCUAAAAUUUGUUACAAACAGCAGUUUUGUGUCCCUGGCAAGUCUGAAUCCCAAAUUUGAGGUGAUUUCAGUAGCACCCACCAUGAGCAGAUUCAGACUGGAUUUAGAGCUGCCAAGCACCCCCCCAAAAGAGCAGGAGGUUCUUCCAGGGAUGCAACUUCAAUGCAACUUGGAGCCAGAGCACUGGUCUCAUCUUUCCACAUGCUGCACCCUCUGCCUCUGGGAAACUUUGCCUCCUAUUGGGUGUAGUUCAGCUGCCACAACUCCACAGUACCUCCUCUGUUGAGAUUUUAUUUCCCUGCCCUCACCCCAGCCACAGCUCAGAGUUGUCUUGGUCCCCACCCUGCAAGGCAGGACCCCAAUCUGUUGUGUGAGCGAGGCUCUGCUGGGUGAGUCAGCUGCUGAGGAUGACUACAGUGCUGACUGCCUGGGGAUGCCAGCAUCUAGCAGUGGGGACCUGCCAAGCUGUAGAGGAAAAACUAAGAAACUGACCCCAACUCUGCAGGAGCCAGAGAUAAGCUUCUGAAAAGAUGAAAAGGAGCAUGGACAAGGCUCCCACUGUGAAGACGGUCUCUGCUUGAGGAGCAUCUUGUGACAGGAGCAGGUUUGUACUCCACAGGGAUACCACAGAAAGGUGAUCUACCAGAAAUUCUUCUCUCUCCAGAGGAAGCUUUCCAGGGGAGUGACCAUCUGCUCUGCCUUGAAGACUGACUUCACAGGAUGAGGGAAGAAGGAGCUGCAGGUGUUAGAGGGCAGAUUGCCCAGCCUUAAAAGGAGAUUUCCAGUAUGGAAAUAUUGUGAAUGGUCUGACAUUGCUGGUUGCUAAACGAAGGGGAGGAUACAAAUAGGCAGGCACACUCACACAGAGGUUCUUAAGGAAACCUUUACAUACCUCCUUCUUUCUUCUAAAAACACAUUUCCACUCUUCACUUUUCAAUUAUGGAAAAGUUCGCAUUUCUGUGACCUCAAUAAAGAAUUAUAUUCUGACUUUAUUUCAAAAUGCUGACUCCUCUAUGGUGGCCAGGGGUAGCUGAAUCUCAUGCAUCAUCCUGGAGAUGGGCUGUUUUUCCUUUGUGCUCUUUCUAAAGGCAGGGUAUACCAUUAAGAGGCAUGUCUGCAGACAUAAGAGCAAUAAUCUGACUGGAGCCAGUCAGUCCAUGACCUUAAGUGCACCAUUUCAAAACCACACCUCAAGCCUUGCCCUCGUUCUUACUCCACCCUCUGCAGAACAAAUCACACCACUCCACUUUCAUAACUGUGUGAGGCUACUUGCCUGCUUUGGCUAUGGUACUGUCAGCAGCUUUCUGGAGAAUGGAGUUAGAUGUUGUGGGAUAGCUUUACAACAAAAACCUUUCUUCUGGCUUUUCUUUUAGCAUUACCUUGAAUGCCUGUCUUUGCUUUUCACAUUUCUCUUUCAUAGUUUGACAGCACGUCUGAAUGCAUUUGGAUGGAGUUUAUCAAGAACGGUAUUAUGACUAACAUAUUUUCAUGGGUCACAGAACAACUUAUAUCAAAUUAACUAGCUAAUUAGCUCUUUUCUCUGGUACUUUUUUACAUGAAGUAUUUAUUCAGUUUUCUUAUCUACUGGAAUUCAUGAUGUGCAGACAAAGACAUACCACAAAGAGAUGUGUUAUGAAAACCACACACCACUGAUACUUAUUUGUUUAAAAACAAAUUUUAAAUUAAUUUAUCCUAAGGGAUAAAAGACAGAGAGAGAAAACUGGAAUAAGAUAAAGAAAAAGCAGACUGAAAGACAGAGCAAUGCUUUAACCAACAUCUGGAUCUGGCACCUCACUCUACAGAUGCAGUUUGCUGAAUUCUUGGUUACAUUACUGGCAUUUUAGACUGUCUGCUGUCCUGGCAGCUGCAACCUGCCUGAUUGGACACAUUUGCCUGGCAAGUAAAUCCCUAUCAGCUCUUAAAGCACUAGGCAAGUGCUGGAGCUGCGCUGUACUCUGUACCAGCCCCUCCAAGUUGCUGGCAGUGGGCAGUGAGCCACAGCCAUACCUUGUGGCAGGACUGGGGAGCUGGAAAGCUACCUAGCUCAUCCCUGGCCCAAGGCAGGUCAGCUGCCUCCUUUUUCUUCCUGGUAAAUAUUUAUUAAGCCCAUUCUUAAAGAUCUCUACAACCCUCCAGGAAAUCUAGUCCAAGGUUUCAUUUUCUCUGUUAUUACAAAGUGAAUACUAUUUUAGCUGCAUAUUACUUGCUCUUGUUUAUCUUAUCUAGCAUGUUAAUGG